UACGUAGGGAGCAAGCGUUGUCCGGAAUCAUUGGGCGUAAAGCGCGCGUAGGUGGCUUCGUAAGUCCGUUGUGAAAGUCAAAGGCUCAACCUUUGAAAGCCGAUGGAUACUGCGGAGCUAGAGUACGGAAGAGGCGAGUGGAAUUCCUGGUGUAGCGGUGGAAUGCGCAGAUAUCAGGAGGAACACCAAUAGCGAAGGCAGCUCGCUGGGCCAUAACUGACGCUGAGAAGCGAAAGCAUGGGGAGCGAACAGG
rnacentral:rRNA from 1 species